CGCACGCAGCUCUCGCUCCGGCGAUCACGGGAAAUUACGUCACCCGUGAGAUGAAGGACGGCGACGAUCUGCUCCCUUCAUUUGAGGCCACCGGCGGAGUCGCCUCCGCGAUCAGGGUCUCCUCCGCCGCGGACGCUGGCCUCUUCGGUAAGGGCCGCUACAAGUUCUGGGCACUUACGGCCAUCCUCCUCCUCGCCUUCUGGUCCAUGGUCACCGGCACCGUCACCCUCCGGUGGUCCGCCGGCGACCUCAACCGCCUCGACCGCGACCUCAACGCCCCCAUCCACUCCGAUCUCGACGCUCUGGAGAUGGAGGAGAGGGAGAAGGUGGUGAGGCACAUGUGGGACGUGUACGCCCACAACCACCGGAUCCGGCUGCCGAGGUUCUGGCAGGAGGCGUUCGAGGCAGCCUACGAGGAGCUCGCCGGAGACGAUCCCGCCGCCAGGGACGGCGCCAUCGCCGAGAUCGCUCGAAUGUCGGUGCGGAUGGUCGAUCUGGAGGACCCUGCCCGAAAUACCAAGGCUGCUGAAACAAAUAGGAAUCAAGGGGUUGGAGGUGCUGAGCUUUCUAUGAGGUCGACAUCGUUGCCGUCUGUAGAAGCUCGAUGAUGAUCCUACUGCAUGUAGCAAACAACAAUCUCUAAUGACAAUUGUUGCUUUGUCAACAACACAUGCCUACUACAAUCUUCAGCAGCUGCUUGCCCAAGAUACAAUAUUGAAAAGCUUCCAGCUUCUCGUCCUUUUGUCUCAUCUGUUCUGCCAAUGGUUUUGAAGCCAUUGUUGUGAUUGUUUGAAGUCAUCUUCAGGUAUUUCUAAAACGAAAGACUUACAGAAUAAUGAAAUGAGAUCAAACAAACCACCAUUCUCUUCCA